GGGAUUUGUCAGAGGUCAGACGGCUGAGCGCGACUCAGACUUGCACGUCCCGACUCGGGUCCAGUGCUCGGAGUGGGCACCGACCCUGCGGACAGCCGCAGCGACCACGCAGCAGGGCACACGGCUCGGGGUCAGGGCGCGGCCACUCUGCUCAGCUACCCAUGUCUAGGAAAACGCUUCUCUGGACCAAGGGAGUGAGUCGCAGAGAAUGCGCUGCUGGCAUGACUCCCUACGGGUGGUGAAGCAAUGGCUUCCGCCGUCGGAGCAGGUGACGUCAGCCGUCUGGGUUCCUGCCAGUGUUCUUGGCCCAGGAAAUGGACUUCCGGCCGGUUGGGCUCUGAACCAUCUCCGGGCUCCUGGAAGGGCAGAUUUCUUAAUUCGCAAAGUGAGGAAGAAAAAAGCAAUCGGAUCUCAGGAAAUAUUUCACUAGAGGAAAUUAGGCCUGGUUCAGGCAGCUGUCCUGCAGCAGAUGUUCAUCUCCUUUCAUUCUCAAGUGACUGUGUGAGCUCUUAUUCCCAGGUGUGUGCCCGUGUCCCCGAGGGUGCAGCAGGAAACCCGCACACGGUGAGGGUGAAGUGAGCGUGCGGCGUUCCUUCCAGGGCAGGCUUCCACCUGCUGCUGCCACUCCCAGCUGAGGCUGGCCCAGGCAGACUUUGAAAAGCACGUCGUGGGAGGGAGGCUCGAACUCAAAGGCCAGCAGAGUUUCAGGCUGCUGAAGGAGGGUAUGCUGACGACGCACCUCGCUGCGAGUCCGAGUGACACGUUGGAAGACCCCUCCCCAGACGCUGCCCGAGUGAGACAGAGCUGGACUCCUGUGCUCCGGCUGGGUCCCCGCAGUCCACGGGGGAACCCGGGGCCUCCCUCCCCUCAUUUACAAACUGCCUCUGCAGGUGACCUCGGCCGCCCUCACUUAGUCCCACUUCAGAGAUGACACCUGUGCCUGCAGCCCACGCGCAUGGUCCACACCUUCGGCCCACAGGGCCUGAGAAUGGGUGAGGUCAAAUGUAUCGUCGAUGCUGCCGAAUAGGCCCCGCCUGGAGGUGCCCUCAGUGGCGAGCCGAGCGGCAGUGCUGGAGGUCACGUGGCCCAGGGCGGGUUUGGAGCCCUGGCUCAGCUCCCGGACACAUGCUGGUGUGUGUGCAUGCCUGAGCCUGAGGAGCUGCAGGGCGGGGGUCAGGGAUGUGGCGUGACGAGAUUCUGGGGCUGGGCAUAGGCAUGUGCUGUCUCUCAUGAAUAAAAGAAUAAAACUUAAAAAAAUGCUAAUUAGGAGGUCAGCUCCAUGGUCUAGUGUUUAAGGGCACUGGAUCCCACAUGGUUGAACAUCAGGUUCAAAUCCUGACACUGGCAACUUUAGAAAGACACCCGGUGUGCGGGGACCAGCAGGUGGCGUGAUGGUUAAGGUGCUGGACACUCCCACG